rnacentral:lncRNA from 1 species
AUUUAAGAACAUGAAGCAACUGGACUCGAAGAAACAAUUCGACGUGAUUAAUCCUAUUACAGAAUCACGUCUCCAACAUCAAAUACACAAAGUAAACAGUAUAAACACAAUAAAAAUACGACAUCUCAAUUAAACAAGCAGAAUCCUGACAGCAUAAUCAUCCCUCCGCUUCAACUUGACUAAACCAGGUGCACAUCCCUCGAAUGAGUUACUCAUAAUUCUUCAUCAAUUAUCAAACGCCCCCCCACCCACCAUAUCCAGACAUCAAACUCGACCUAAAAAAAGUCCCCGCUAACAAAGAACAAUCGCUCCGGCAUCUACAAUCCACGUCGAGAUCCCUCGGCAGCAAUAAACAAAAAAAAAUCUGACGGACGAGAAGCGCGCUACCUGCGAAACCGAGGGACUGAGCAGCAGAGGAGAAGGAGGAGCUGCGAUCUCGACAUGCUUGCGCCCGAAUCCGAGCGCAUUCCGCGACUCGGUAGUCAUUCGGAGGGACGAAUCCAGCCGAGCCGAGAUGAACCGGAGGCUUGAGAAUGCGGCAGAGCCUGCGAGCUCUCGCGGCGGCGUGCAUAGCUCCGGCGCGAUCGAAUCAACGAGCCGACGAGUUCCUCGCGCCGGAAGGUCCGUGCUGUUGCCGAGCGAGGUUUUUCGGCUGCUCAGGGUUUUGCGAGGAGGAAGAAGAAAUGAGGUAAUGUUCGCCUGCGGCGGCGUCUAUGGCCACUUACGGUGUGG